rnacentral:rRNA from 1 species
AGAGUUUGAUCCUGGCUCAGGAUGAACGCUGGCGGCGUGCUUAACACAUGCAAGUCGAACGAAGCACCUUGAUUUGAUUCUUCGGAUGAAGAUCCUGGUGACUGAGUGGCGGACGGGUGAGUAACGCGUGGGUAACCUGCCUCAUACAGGGGGAUAACAGUUAGAAAUGACUGCUAAUACCGCAUAAGACCACAGCACCGCAUGGUGCAGGGGUAAAAACUCCGGUGGUAUGAGAUGGACCCGCGUCUGAUUAGGUAGUUGGUGGGGUAACGGCCUACCAAGCCGACGAUCAGUAGCCGACCUGAGAGGGUGACCGGCCACAUUGGGACUGAGACACGGCCCAAACUCCUACGGGAGGCAGCAGUGGGGAAUAUUGCACAAUGGGGGAAACCCUGAUGCAGCGACGCCGCGUGAGCGAUGAAGUAUUUCGGUAUGUAAAGCUCUAUCAGCAGGGAAGAAAAUGACGGUACCUGACUAAGAAGCACCGGCUAAAUACGUGCCAGCAGCCGCGGUAAUACGUAUGGUGCAAGCGUUAUCCGGAUUUACUGGGUGUAAAGGGAGCGUAGACGGAGUGGCAAGUCUGAUGUGAAAACCCGGGGCUCAACCCCGGGACUGCAUUGGAAACUGUCAAUCUAGAGUACCGGAGAGGUAAGCGGAAUUCCUAGUGUAGCGGUGAAAUGCGUAGAUAUUAGGAGGAACACCAGUGGCGAAGGCGGCUUUCUGGACUGUAACUGACGCUGAGGCUCGAAAGCGUGGGGAGCGAACAGGAUUAGAUACCCUGGUAGUCCACGCCGUAAACGAUGAAUGCUAGGUGUAGGAGGUAUCGACCCCUUCUGUGCCGGAGUUAACGCAAUAAGCAUUCCGCCUGGGGAGUACGGCCGCAAGGCUGAAACUCAAAGGAAUUGACGGGGGCCCGCACAAGCGGUGGAGUAUGUGGUUUAAUUCGACGCGACGCGAAGAACCUUACCAGGGCUUGACAUUGAGUGAAAGGACAAGAGAUUGUCCCCUCUCUUCGGAGACACGAAAACAGGUGGUGCAUGGCUGUCGUCAGCUCGUGUCGUGAGAUGUUGGGUUAAGUCCCGCAACGAGCGCAACCCCUAUUCUUUGUUGCCAGCACGCUAUGGUGGGAACUCAAAGGAGACUGCCGCGGACAACGCGGAGGAAGGCGGGGAUGACGUCAAGUCAUCAUGCCCCUUAUGUCCUGGGCUACACACGUACUACAAUGGGAUGGACAGAGAGUAGCGAAGCCGCGAGGCCAAGCGAACCCCAUAAACCAUCUCCCAGUUCGGAUUGCAGGCUGCAACCCGCCUGCAUGAAGUUGGAAUCGCUAGUAAUCGCAGGUCAGCAUACUGCGGUGAAUACGUUCCCGGGCCUUGUACACACCGCCCGUCACACCACGGAAGUCAUUCACACCCGAAGCCGGCAGGCUAACCUUUAUGGAGGCAGCCGUCUAAGGUGGGGGCGAUGACUGGGGUGAAGUCGUAACAAGGUA